ACCUUGCAAGUUAGACAUUCUAACUUUACUGAUCUAGAUUUAAAAAUGAUAUUGCAAACUGCACAUGCAUUCGGCCUCUAAGAGUCAUCCACACGAGCCCAUAAAUCACGAUCAGAAGUUUUGGUUCAGGAAAUCAGCACAGUAUGCUAGUACUGUGUUGAUCCUUCUUCGAUGGUCGAUCAGAUACCUCCUUCUUCCUGAUUUAGACUCUUUUAAAGAUGAGAAGUAGGAGAAGUUUUAGAUGUGAGACACUCUCAGAAAACUC
rnacentral:lncRNA from 1 species